AUUGAACGCUGGCGGCAUGCCUUACACAUGCAAGUCGAACGGCAGCACGGGUGCUUGCACCUGGUGGCGAGUGGCGAACGGGUGAGUAAUACAUCGGAACAUGUCCUGUAGUGGGGGAUAGCCCGGCGAAAGCCGGAUUAAUACCGCAUACGAUCUACGGAUGAAAGCGGGGGACCUUCGGGCCUCGCGCUAUAGGGUUGGCCGAUGGCUGAUUAGCUAGUUGGUGGGGUAAAGGCCUACCAAGGCGACGAUCAGUAGCUGGUCUGAGAGGACGACCAGCCACACUGUGACUGAGACACGGCCCAGACUCCUACGGGAGGCAGCAGUGGGGAAUUUUGGACAAUGGGCGAAAGCCUGAUCCAGCAAUGCCGCGUGUGUGAAGAAGGCCUUCGGGUUGUAAAGCACUUUUGUCCGGAAAGAAAUCCUUGGCCCUAAUACGGUCGGGGGAUGACGGUACCGGAAGAAUAAGCACCGGCUAACUACGUG
rnacentral:rRNA from 1 species